CUCUGGGCACGGGAGGGGAGCUCUGGCUGUGCAUACUGGCUACCCCACCCCAUGGAGGGCUCCCUCCUAAUCCCCGAGCUGGGAAGAUUUCUUAUUGUCCAAAACCACCCGAAUGGCACAGACAUCUCUCUUUCAGGUUUAGGUCUGCUUCCCUGGAUGAGAGUGAGGCGAGGAAGAAACCUAGGGAAUGGCUGGGAGCGCCCAGCACCCCAGGAUCCCCGAUUUCCAGCCCCAGAGCUGCCCCUUCUGUGCUUCCCUGGAAGCAAGAGGCUGACUGUGGUACUUCAGGACACUUAGGGGACAGAUGUUGUUACGUUAACUUGUCAUCGCAGAUGUGCAUUGAGUACCCCCUACCUGCAGGCGUUUCAUAGGCCAGUAUCUACAAGGAUGCCUCUAUUUGUCUGUUGUCCCUGACACUUAGCCCAGGGAGGGCACAGGGCAAGCCCUCAAACAUUUAUUAAUUUGAGCACUAACUCUAGGGGGUGAGCAUUAGCCUCAUUGCCCAAACUGUGCCAGGGCCUCCCAGAUCUUCCCUGGCCACACCAUAAAGACAUAAUAGUGCGGAUACUUAGCCCUUACUAUCUAUAGUGCUCUAAGUGCUCGACAGGGCUUCCGCCAGGCCCUCCCAGCCACCCCCGCCUCUCCCUCCCUGCCCUGAUCUUGAGACACUGUCGUCCACUCUUUGCUGAGUUGAUAUUCUGACAAUAAAAUCAGCCAACCAUUAGCCAGCGCAUACCAUGUUCCAGGUGCUGUUACAUGCUAUGCCUGUAGGAACUCAUUUAAUCCUUCCAAAGAUCCUGGGAGGCAAGUAGUACGACUGUCCCUGUUUUAUGGAUGGGGAAACUGAGGCUCCAAGAAGUGGUGAAAAGACUUGUCUAAGGUCGCUGAGUCAGGAUCAGAACUCAGGGCUCUCAGGCCUCGAAUACUGGGAACGCUGCGGGGGAAGAGGGGGAGUCCAGGCAUCCUUGUCUUGGCGGCCAGGAGGCCAGAGAUCAGCCUGGGGGUUCCCGAUUUCACUCGGGGCAGGGGGCUGAAGUCCUGCUUUGCAGGGUAUCCCAAAGGGAGCCCAGACCCCCUACUAAUAGGUUUGCCCUUGGGGGAGGGCUGACAUCCUCCCUCUGCUGUCCCAUUCCCAAGAUGUAACCUCCUUGCCUCUUCCUUGCUGGGGGGGGGGGGGUGGGGUGAUCAGGUUCCCGUUGCUAGGCAACCAGGUUUGUAGUUGGUGAAUAAUGCAUCAGGGGACCCAAAAGAGUGAGGAACCAAAUUGGGGUCCCUGGGGGGAAACUCUUUACAAACCUCUGGAGCCCCUCCACCCUCUUACUUUAAAAGGCCCUCAAACCUUGAAUGUUAAAACCCUCCGCACACCCCAUUUGAUAUUGUCUGUCUCCAACUCUACAAGAACAGGGUUCGUGGCUAUGGCCUGUUGUCACCAGGAGCAAUGGGUGGCCCUUUCAUUAAGCCGGUGAUGGUUGCAAUUUUGCCAUCACCUUUCCCAGUUGGGCAGCUGUUAACUUUCUCUGUUGUAUCUCAAGCAUUUCUUCCUACCCUGGAAGCUGAGGGGUGUUUCAAGAGGCAAAACAUGGGAGUGAGGAACCCUGGCGUUUCCUGGCCCCCCAGUCCUAGCCCCACCCCCCAGCCUGGACUUUGAGCUUGAAGACUGCCAGUGGAAAAAUCCCGGAAAAAAGAAAGUGGAGGUCCACAUCUCCAACCCGACUCUGGGGAGAGGGAUCCGAAGAGCCUGCGGGGUUGCCUGCUGACCUCUCUCCGCUCCCCCUGGUCCCCUUAGGAGAGGCCAGCUGGGGCUCCCACCCCGUGGAAAGGCCAGUGACCCUCCCAGGCCCUGCGCACCCGGCCCCCCCUCCCCCCCUCCCCAGGACACUUACGUGGGU